rnacentral:rRNA from 1 species
CGCGUAGGUGGUUCGAUAAGUGUGUGGUGAAAGCCCGGGGCUCAACCCCGGGUCUGCCGUGCAAACUGUCGGACUGGAGGACUGCAGAGGCAGGUGGAAUUCCGGGUGUAGCGGUGGAAUGCGUAGAUAUCCGGAAGAAGACCGGUGGCGAAGGCGACCUGCUGGGCAGUUACUGACACUGAGGCGCGACAGCGUGGGGAGCAAACAGGAUUAGAUACCCUGGUAGUCCACGCCGUAAACGAUGGGCACUAGGUCUCUGGGGGAGCGACCCCCUGGGGGCCGACGCAAACGCAUGAAGUGCCCCGCCUGGGGAGUACGGCCGCAAGGCUGAA